CUAUCCCGUCAUUCCCAGCGGGGAACAGUAGAGCCGGACUCUGGAGGACUCUAGAGCGGCGGGAGCUAGGCCGAGCCCGAUGAUGUCGGAGAAGAAGCAGCCCGUCGAUUUGGGGCUUUUGGAGGAAGACGACGAGUUCGAGGAGUUCCCGGCUGAAGACUGGGCUGGUUUAGAUGAAGAUGAAGAUGCACAUGUGUGGGAGGACAACUGGGAUGAUGACAACGUCGAAGAUGAUUUCUCCAAUCAGCUAAGAGCUGAAUUAGAAAAACAUGGCUACAAGAUGGAAACGUCGUAGCUUCCAUUGAUGUUGCAAUCUGCAGUUGGACUGUAAAUUGAACACUGAAGCAUAUGGAAGUCAAAAUGGAAGACAAGAUACUAGACUGUCAAUUAUUCAUGUCCUAUUUUUUUGUUUUUGGUUUUUUGUAUAAAUAAAAAAUUGAAUCUAA